rnacentral:lncRNA from 1 species
AAAAUCAGAGUGCCACAUACUUGUGCCAAGUGGAAUACCACUAAAACCAUGAAGGAUGAGGAUAUAUAAUUGAUUGUUAGAAGGUGCUGAAGAAUCUAGUGAAGAUAGAGUCCUCCUAAUGAAGCUGGAGGUAUGUACAACUUUACUGGUAACCAUUUUCAUGCUUACAUGUGCAAUAUAUUAGUACAAGAGCAGCUGCUUGGCCAAGUGGCUUCCAAUAUUUUGCUUCAGCUGACAUCAACAUGCUGUUCCUCCAUAUCUCAUCUGACAACUGCUUAAAGCCUUCUUUAUUUCUCAAUGUUUCAGAAAUAUAUAAAAAUUAUGAUUGAGGCAACACUCAACCUUUAAUUGGUUCCUAGACAAUGGUCGCAUGUUGAACCAUCAAAAGUCCAUCCUAAUUUCCUAUACCUACAAAAUUACAAGAUAGGGGUUCAUUCUUGCAUACAAAUUACAUACCACAAACAGACCAAAAUUAAUCAGCUAAAUACAUAGAGUAAAACUAAAACACAAAUAUGUGCCUUUAAAAUAAUGUAUUAAGUAACUGAAAUGAGACACAAUGUAUAAAAACUUGAUUCCUAAUAUUUCUUUUCAGAGAUUUUUCAGAAACAAAAAGGAAUGAACUACAGAUCCAUGCCUCAGUAUGGAUGAACCUCAAAAACAUGACACUUCCACAACUAGAAGGACCCACAACUAAAAAUAUACAACUAUGUACUGGGGAUUUGGGGAGAAAAAGCAGAAAGAAAAAAAAAAUUACACUGAGUGAAAGAAGCAAGACACAAAAAGUACAUACUGUAUAAUUUCAUUUAUAUGAAAUUCUAGAAUGGACAAAACUCUUAACCUAUGAUGAUAGAAAUCAGAUCAUGGUUAUUAUGGGGGAUGUUGACUGAGAUGGGACAUAAGGGAACUUUAUGUGGUCAUGAGAAUGUUCUGGGUUUUAAUGGGUUAUACAAGUUUAUGUAUUUGUCAAAACUGAGUAGUACACACAGAGUAUUUAGCCAUAUUUAAAUUGUAGUUCAAUAAAAAGAAAAGUCAAGAUCUAUAUAUAA